UACAGAGGGUGCAAGCGUUGCUCGGAAUCACUGGGCGUAAAGGGUGCGUAGGCGGGUUAUUAAGUCAGAGGUGAAAUCCUGGAGCUCAACUCCAGAACUGCCUUUGAUACUGAUAGUCUUGAGUAUGGGAGAGGUGAGUGGAACUGCGAGUGUAGAGGUGAAAUUCGUAGAUAUUCGCAAGAACACCAGUGGCGAAGGCGGCUCACUGGCCCAUUACUGACGCUGAGGCACGAAAGCGUGGGGAGCAAACAGG
rnacentral:rRNA from 1 species